UCCACCGUCCAGACACACACUCCUCUCCUUCUCCUUCUUUUCUUCAUUCCUCUACCUUCCAUCUACCAUAUCUCAAAAUCUAACCGUUUGUUUCUCAAAUUGAAGCUACUUAAGCAUUCAGGACUCCAAGAGCUACGUUUCUACCGAUCGAUUUUCCGUUUCAUCCAACCGGUGAUUCUCACACUUUGGGGUCCAAAGCACGUGGUCUAGGAUUCUUCCUUGAGUUGGCCGUACGCACUAGAGUAGGUAAUGAAUGUGCCAGUGGAGCAAGCUUUGGAAGUUGAGGAAGAUCCAGCCCCUAGUACUUAGGACUUUUUAAUAUUUUGUCAGCUUUCAUUUUAGAGCACUUUUAGAACUUGUACUCAAGUCUUAAUUUCCUCUAAAUUUUGGAUGACUGUAUAAAUAUUCAAAUAUUGUCAUCUUCAUCCCUUAACUGCUUUCACAUAUUGUAAUAGCUGAAUCCUAUUAUAUUAUAUGUGAAUA